UUUUUGUAUUGAAUUGUAUGGCGAAAUGCCGAAUUUUCGCAAUAAAACAGCGAUUUUAAAAACAUCUACCGUCCGAUCUUUAUUUUGAGGACAAAAUUUGAAAGAACAUGUCAAGCUGCGUCUGUUAAACGGAAAAUUAUUACACGAAUAUGUUUAAAACGAACGAAAAUUUGGAUAAACGACCUCCGAAGGAGUGAGAUCUUAUACUGUCAACAAGUCAGGUGAGAUUCUUUUCAUUUCUUGAUCAUUUUUCGAUAGUGUUUUGUGAAAUUUCGUACCUUAGACAACAGAUGCAUAUAGGACUAUUGCUAACUGACACUAAAAACAUGUUUGGGAUGCGUACAACCAGAGUUUUUAUUUACUGUACAGAUUACAAACAAUAUACUAAUACAAACAAUAUUCAAAUAUAUAGAAAUAUUAUUUUGUUAGGCUAGUACCAAAAUGUUUCCUUAUACACAAAGAUAGUAAAAGCAUUUAGACCUGAAAUAUAUCUUUGAGACCAAACACUAUACUGUUAACUGAAAUAUUGGGGAUUUGAAUUUAUUGAAUUAAUGAGUUAGGUACCAAUAUAAACACAUUCCGAUGCUUAAAUAAAUAACAAUAUCAGUUGUCCAGGUAGUGUACUAAACCAAUGACUUGCAUUUAUAGUCAGUAAGCAUUAUUUUGUAUAUAGACAUUAUUUGUUUGACCAUUGACGGUCCCUCCUUAUAAUAAAUACAACCACACACUGGUUGUCUCUGUGUGUGCAGCUGUGUUUCAUCCAAUUGUAUGUCUGUAAAAUACACCCAAUAAAUAAUCAAAUUAUUCUCUUUUUAGUUGAAUGAUAGACUUUCCAUGUUAAAAGAACUACAAAUCUGCUCUUUGACUAUCUGGGUAAAAGGCAAUGACAAU